CGCUGGCGGCGUGCCUAAUACAUGCAAGUCGAACGGUCUUUCUAUGGAAGCUUGCUUCCACUGAGAAGAUAGUGGCGAACGGGUGAGUAACACGUGGGUAACCUGCCCAUAAGAGGGGGAUAACAUCCGGAAACGGGUGCUAAUACCGCAUAGUUUUCUUGAUCGCAUGAUUGAGAAAGGAAAGACGGCCUUUGUGCUGUCGCUUAUGGAUGGACCCGCGGCGUAUUAGUUAGUUGGUGAGGUAAUGGCUCACCAAGACGAUGAUACGUAGCCGACCUGAGAGGGUGAUCGGCCACAUUGGGACUGAGACACGGCCCAAACUCCUACGGGAGGCAGCAGUAGGGAAUCUUCUGCAAUGGACGAAAGUCUGACGGAGCAACGCCGCGUGAGUGAAAGAAGGUUUUCGGAUCGUAAAACUCUGUUGUCAGAGAAGAACAAGUUGGAGAGUAACUGCUCCAGCCUUGACGGUAUCUGACCAGAAAGCCACGGCUAACUACGUGCCAGCCGCCGC
rnacentral:rRNA from 1 species